AUAAACGCUGGCGGCGUGCAUAACACCUGCAAGUCGAACGCUGAAGAUUAAAAGAUUUCUUCGGAAUGAACUUAAUUGGAUUAGUGGCGGACGGGUGAGUAACGCGUGAGUAACCUGCCUUGUACAAGGGGAUAGCCGUUGGAAACGACGAAUAAUACCCUAUGACAUCAAAUAAUCGCAUGAUAAUUUGAUCAAAGAUUUAUCGGUAUAAGAUGGACUCGCGUCUGAUUAGCUAGUUGGUAGAGUAAAAGCCUACCAAGGCAACGAUCAGUAGCCGGCUUGAGAGAGUGUACGGCCACAUUGGGACUGAGACACGGCCCAGACUCCUACGGGAGGCAGCAGUGGGGAAUUUUGCACAAUGGGGGAAACCCUGAUGCAGCGACGCCGCGUGAUUGAGAAGGCCUUCGGGUUGUAAAAAUCUUUUGUAUGGGAAGAAAAUGACAGUACCAUACGAAUAAGGACCGGCUAAUUACGUG
rnacentral:rRNA from 1 species